CGUCAUGCAGGAGCGGGCAGGUCUUUCGGUGCUCUUCCCCCUACCGUGCUCUUCCUCCCUAGUCCCUUCCCUCCCUUCCCCCUUUACUCCUCGGUCUCGGGGUUCUGCGGCCUCGGGGGUGGCGGAGGAGAUGGAGUAAGCGUUCGGUGGCGGCCAGGCGCGCGGCCCGAGCAGUCACAGCCCGGAGGCAUUGAGGGAGCGGGCGGGGGACGGGCCCUAGCACCGCCCCUCCAGGUAGCCGGCUGAGAGGUGACUUGAACUACCAAGUACUGCAGCCAUGGAGUCCAUGCUCAAUAAACUGAAGAGUACUGUUACAAAAGUAACAGCCGAUGUCACCAGCGCGGUUAUGGGAAACCCUGUCACUAGAGAAUUUGAUGUUGGGCGACACAUUGCCAGUGGUGGCAAUGGGUUGGCCUGGAAGAUUUUUAAUGGGACAAAGAAGUCAACCAAACAGGAAGUGGCUGUUUUUGUCUUUGAUAAAAAGCUGAUUGACAAAUAUCAAAAAUUUGAAAAGGAUCAAAUCAUCGAUUCUUUAAAACGUGGAGUCCAACAGCUAACCCGGCUACGACACCCUCGACUUCUUACUGUCCAGCAUCCUUUAGAAGAGUCAAGGGAUUGCUUGGCAUUUUGUACAGAACCAGUUUUUGCCAGUUUAGCCAAUGUUCUUGGUAACUGGGAAAAUCUACCCUCUUCAAUAUCUCCAGACAUCAAGGAUUAUAAACUUUAUGAUGUAGAAACUAAGUAUGGUUUGCUUCAGGUUUCUGAAGGAUUGUCAUUUUUGCAUAGCAGUGUAAAAAUGGUUCAUGGAAAUGUUACUCCUGAAAAUAUAAUUU
rnacentral:lncRNA from 1 species